UCACUUGCAAACCUUUUAUUUAAGAUUUGUCCAUGAUCGCGGAAUAAAAUACAAAAGCAAUCAAAAAAUCACAACGUUUUCUAAAAUUAACUGUCCUCCCUUUGGGAUUUACAGCCCUCUCCAAAGAAAACCUUCUGCACAGCUGCCAGUUUGUCAAGACAAAACGAUUUUUCUUUCUUCCU